CGAGCCGGGCGGACGGCCGCGUGAAGUCCCUCAGGGGGCUUCCCGAGGAACGUCCGGGCUCCACAGGGCAGGGUGGUGGCUAACGGCCACCCGAGGCGACUCGCGGGACAGUGCCACAGAAAGCAAACCGCCGGGGGUCUCGACCCUCGGUAAGGGUGAAACGGUGGUGUAAGAGACCACCAGUGCCCAGGGCGACCUGGGCAGCUAGGUAAACCCCACCCGGAGCAAGGUCAAGAGGAGCGCGGUGAAAGGCGCUCUGCGGGGACGUUCGAGGGCUGCCCGCCCGAGCCCCCGGGUAGACCGCACGAGGCCGGCGGCAACGCCGGCCCUAGAUGGAUGGCCGUCGCCCCGGCUCCCGCGAGGGACCGGGGUACAGAACCCGGCGUACAGCCCGACUCGUCUG
rnacentral:RNase_P_RNA from 1 species